rnacentral:misc_RNA from 1 species
ACGAGCUUGGCUUUGCUCCCUCCGCCGCCGCCGCCACAGUCGACACUUGAGCGGCGGCCGCCUCUGCCUCGGCCUCGAGGCGCUUCUUGUUUCGCUCGAGCGCCUCGCCGACCUCUUUGGGCAUGUACUUCUCGUCGUGCUUGGCGAGCACCUCGGUGCCGCGCAAGAAGCACGAGCACUCCCGGGCCUUCUCGGCCACCUUCCUCCCGUCGUCGCGGCGGAGGUCGUCGGUGAGGGGCUUGAGGAGCCCCUCAACGACGACGGAGUGUCCCUCGCGGAAGAGGUCAGGCAGCGCGCCCUCGUACCGGACCAGCACGUCGGUGAUGAGGUCCGUGACGACGAACUCGAUCUCGGGAGAGGAUGGCGAGGGGUGCACGACGGAGCCCUCGAGGACGAGACCGCCGAGGCGGACGCGGGGCUUGGAGGGAUCGGCGGUGAAUUUGGCGAGCGCGUCGGUGGGCGUGACGUAGAAGACGAGCUGGUCCUGGAACGUGGCGAGCACGGUGACCACGAACCCGGCCGUGCAGGCGAAGGCGAGCCCGUAAGACCAGAGGCGGCGCGUCUGCAGCUGUCGCGCGCGGGCGCCGAUGUCCGCGGCGCGGGGGCGGGAGGAGGGCCCCGCCCGCCGCGCGCCCGAGGCGAAGCUGCGGAGGAAGGGGCCGAGCGGGGUGGUGGUGGCGGCGGCUGCCGCGCGCGGGGUGGGGAUGGGUCCCGGUGUGUGGAGGAGGGUGGAGAGGAGGCGGCUGCGGGAGGGGAGGAGCCGCGAGAAAGCCAUGGGAUCGGGUCCGGUCGGGGUCUGGUGGGAUCUAGAGGCUAAAGACUGCGGAAGGACCGGAGGCGGAAGGGGAAAGGCGUGGGCCGGGCGCGACGGUCGGCUUGUUGCGCACGGCACGGCGCACGCCGGCGUGGGCCGCGCGGGGGUCUGGCAACCGUGUGGUCAGCGGCUCGAGCUAGCUCUCAGCACACGCGCUACUGUGGCG